CAGCAGCCGCGGUAAUACGGAGGGUGCAAGCGUUAAUCGGAAUUACUGGGCGUAAGGCGUGCGUAGGCGGUUCGUUAAGUCUGUUGUGAAAGCCCCGGGCUCAACCUGGGAAUGGCAAUGGAUACUGGCGAGCUAGAGUGUGUCAGAGGAUGGUGGAAUUCCCGGUGUAGCGGUGAAAUGCGUAGAGAUCGGGAGGAACAUCAGUGGCGAAGGCGGCCAUCUGGGACAACACUGACGCUGAGGCACGAAAGCGUGGGGAGCAAACAGGAUUAGAUACCCCCGUAGUCCCUGUCUCUUAUAC
rnacentral:rRNA from 1 species